rnacentral:rRNA from 1 species
UACGAAGGGGGCGAGCGUUGUUCGGAUUUACUGGGCGUAAAGGGUUCGUAGGUGGCCAACUAAGUCAGACGUGAAAUCCCUCAGCUUAACUGGGGAACUGCGUCUGAUACUGGUUGGCUUGAGUGCAGGAGAGGAAUGCGGAAUUCCAGGUGUAGCGGUGAAAUGCGUAGAUAUCUGGAGGAACACCGGUGGCGAAGGCGGCAUUCUGGACUGCAACUGACACUGAUGAGCGAAAGCCAGGGGAGCAAACGGG